ACAGUAAAUGGAUCUCUUCAUUUGGCUGCAGGGUUGUUACCAGCAGAACCAGCAAAGCCAGGUGUGUGUCCUAGAAAAAAUCUUGAAGCAGCAGUGUCAGGAGUGUGUGUAGGGUUGUGUUCCCAUGACCAUGACUGCCCAAACAAUCAGAAAUGCUGCCGCAGUGGCUGUGGACGUCAGUGUAUGGCUCCAUAUAAAGAAAAGCCAGGAUCGUGUC